rnacentral:lncRNA from 1 species
GGCGCCUAUGAGAGCCUCUUGGCUUUUACCUGGUCUGCGAGAAAUCAAACUUUGGGCACAAGUCAUGAAGCCGACAAGCCCGGGAGACACAGUGUCAGAAUUACAAGGUGAGAUCAGCCGCCCGGCCAAGCUAUCUUCUCGCUAGCAGUUCCGUUUCCCUCCAGAGCAUCAAGCCUCCUCCCGCCCAGGGGGCCUCCUGCUUUCCUAAGCUGCUGUGGAAUCGGCCUGAGGUCCCAGACGCUGUCCAUUGUGCUGCUGCUCUCUGCUUUCUCCAGCCAGAGUGCCAGUUCAUCCGCUUUUGGGAGAACUCCGCCGCCUGGCCUGCCCGCGGAAAAGGUCACAGCUUUGCAGGGGGUGACAUGGGCUAUGGCUUCCUGGAAAUGUCACCCUCACUAGCGCCUUUUAGAUAGAUGUGAAUUUUGAGACAUGAGG